UUCAAUGUAGGUUACGCGAUCUCGUGAAUUAUCGCGAUAUUCCUUUUCGUCAGAAACAACGUCCCCGAUACAUCUAAUUCGGAUAAAACAAUCGAGCAGUUACUAUUAACUCGCUUUGCUAAGUCAGAGAAAUGGGAAAACCGAAAUCUGCCCAACCUAAGCAGAGAAAAGGUGUUUCAAAGAAGAAAUCCAACAAAAUUGGAAAACCGAAAUCUGCCCAACCUAAGCAGAGAAAAGCAGUUCAGAAGCCUAAACCCAAAAUAGGUGCCAAAGAGGAAAGAGAAUGGACGACGAAUGUCGGAAAUGACAUAUCUUGGAGAAUAUGAAGAUGUAUACUAUGCAAGACGCAAAUAAACAGAAGAUGUACACUAUGCAAGACGCAAAUAAACAGAUUUUAUUUU
rnacentral:misc_RNA from 1 species